AUUGAACGCUGGCGGCAGGCCUAACACAUGCAAGUCGAGCGGAUGAAGGGAGCUUGCUCCUGGAUUCAGCGGCGGACGGGUGAGUAAUGCCUAGGAAUCUGCCUGGUAGUGGGGGAUAACGUCCGGAAACGGGCGCUAAUACCGCAUACGUCCUGAGGGAGAAAGUGGGGGAUCUUCGGACCUCACGCUAUCAGAUGAGCCUAGGUCGGAUUAGCUAGUUGGUGGGGUAAAGGCCUACCAAGGCGACGAUCCGUAACUGUCCUGAGAGGAUGAUCAGUCACACUGGAACUGAGACACGGUCCAGACUCCUACGGGAGGCAGCAGUGGGGAAUAUUGGACAAUGGGCGAAAGCCUGAUCCAGCCAUGCCGCGUGUGUGAAGAAGGUCUUCGGAUUGUAAAGCACUUUAAGUUGGGAGGAAGGGCAGUAAGUUAAUACCUUGCUGUUUUGACGUUACCAACAGAAUAAGCACCGGCUAACUUCGUG
rnacentral:rRNA from 1 species